UAUCAUGUGUAUACAUAUAUAUUAAUAAAACUAAUAAUUGAGGAGUCAUAUAGGGUUCACUCUCUGUGUCCUGUUUUGUUUUAUAGCUACAAGAAACUGGCUGAGAAUAAAGAAACUGAAUUUGUUAACAAUUUACCCCUUAAGAUGAAUCCAAAUGUUAUGUCUCAAGAAACAAAAUGUGAACCAAUUUUUGGACAAAAAUGAAGAGCAUAUAGUUUUACAAAAGUCACCAAUGAAGUGAAGUAGCUUUGAAGAAUCAAACAAAAAUCAAAGGUGGUUGCAGUUUGAGGAAACAUCGGAUCCUGUCACUGAAGAAAAAGCAAAGCAAAUCCAAAAAGAAAUAGGAACAAGAGACACUUCUUCAGGGAUGUCAACAGUAGUAGCCUAAGCCUACAGCCUGCCAAUAAGAAGCAUUUUCACUGCAGGGAUGCCCAGAGAAAGUGUUAACCACAUCAGAGAUGGCAGCAUUUACUACAAAUGGGGUAGCACUGAUUUUGCAGGACACACGGCCCUAGAGUUAUUGAGAGCCAUCCAGACCCUCCGCCUGCUGUUCUGCACUUGCUGCGCGGAGCGUGCACUUUAAGGAACAGACCUGAAUAUCAAGAAAGAGAAAACCGGUUUAUUGGAAGACCUCAAAAGACUGAAGCAAGACAAGCAAGCUCUUGAAGCAGACUUGGGAAAAAUGAAGACAGAGACCAAGCCAGAGAGCAGGUGCAUGCACCUCAUGGAGCACGCCGAGCUGGGAUAGUCACUUUAUACUCGUAACUGUUCUGAACUUGAGUCAAUAACUGCAAGAUUGAAGAAACUCAAAGAUUAUUUUGAAUUCGUGGCACUGCGUGCACAGUUGUUUGCAGUCCUCCCAGCCAGACGGUGACCUUCCAGGGCCUGGUCUCCCUUUUUAUCCCUGGGCCUGAAAUGUAAGCUCUCAAGUGUUUAACAAAUGAAAAGACAACACCAUGCUGUGUUUGUAGAAGACUGAAAGGUGAAUAUUGCAUUCCCCACCGGGGAAAACAAAGGAGGAGUUAGAUAAGAAUGCAGGAAAGUUUAAUAUUAAAAAAAUUAGAAAUAAACAGAAGGGUACUAGUAAGGGUUUCAGGGAGGAGAAGAGUUUGAGCUGAGUCCUGGCAGGUGGAGGGCCUUGGGAGGAGAGGAGGGAGGCCACCCAGCUGUGUCUCAUGGGCGUGUCACUGAGCGCACCUGUCCUGGGCCAGAGGCGGGCCAGGCACAGGGCCAGAAAGGUCGAUCUGCAGAGCCCUUGUUUGCCAAAGGAAGUAUCUUUUCUCUGUGAUUUUAUGAUCUUCAGUGUAACAUACGUACAAAUAAAAUCCACUAACCUGUUUGUAAGAA